AGUGAACGCUGGCGGUAGGCCUAACACAUGCAAGUCGAACGGCAGCGCAGUAAGAGCUUGCUCUUACGGGUGGCGAGUGGCGGACGGGUGAGGAAUACAUCGGAAUCUACUUUUUCGUGGGGGAUAACGUAGGGAAACUUACGCUAAUACCGCAUACGACCUACGGGUGAAAGCAGGGGAUCUUCGGACCUUGCGCGAUUGAAUGAGCCGAUGUCGGAUUAGCUAGUUGGCGGGGUAAAGGCCCACCAAGGCGACGAUCCGUAGCUGGUCUGAGAGGAUGAUCAGCCACACUGGAACUGAGACACGGUCCAGACUCCUACGGGAGGCAGCAGUGGGAAAUAUUGGACAAUGGGCGCAAGCCUGAUCCAGCCAUACCGCGUGGGUGAAGAAGGCCUUCGGGUUGUAAAGCCCUUUUGUUGGGAAAGAAAAGCAGCAGGUUAAUACCCCGCUGUUCUGACGGUACCCAAAGAAUAAGCACCGGCUAACUUCGUG
rnacentral:rRNA from 1 species